UACACUCCUACGGGAGGCAGCAGUGGGGAAUAUUGGACAAUGGGCGCAAGCCUGAUCCAGCCAUGCCGCGUGAGUGAUGAAGGACCUAGGGUUGUAAAGCUCUUUCACCGGUGAAGAUAAUGACGGUAACCGGAGAAGAAGCCCCGGCUAACUUCGUGCCAGCAGCCGCGGUAAUACGAAGGGGGCUAGCGUUGUUCGGAUUUACUGGGCGUAAAGCGCACGUAGGCGGACUAUUAAGUCAGGGGUGAAAUCCCGGGGCUCAACCCCGGAACUGCCUUUGAUACUGGUAGUCUUGAGUUCGAGAGAGGUGAGUGGAAUUCCGAGUGUAGAGGUGAAAUUCGUAGAUAUUCGGAGGAACACCAGUGGCGAAGGCGGCUCACUGGCUCGAUACUGACGCUGAGGUGCGAAAGCGUGGGGAGCAAACAGGAUUAGAAACCCGUGUAGUCCCAUGA
rnacentral:rRNA from 1 species